rnacentral:lncRNA from 1 species
UUUAUCGUCUUAGAUAUGGUAAGGUGUAGUAUUGGUUUUUCUAACAAAUGAAAUGGUUAUCCCGAAAGUCUCAAACCUUGUAAUCAUACAUUUAUUGCCAAAGAGGUCGCUACUAGUACUAUCUACCUAAAAUCCUGUUACCACCGCUACUAGUCGAUUCACAGUAAAGAGUAAGGUGAUUGUGAUAUCACUAAUGAACGAGUCUAAAUUCUGAGCUGAAGAUCCACCAGGCGCCAUGCAUCAACGAUCUUGCAGCGCGGUUCAGCUCCACCGCUCUCCUCCUCAUAGUCACGGCUUCAUGGAUUAGUGUGUGUGUGACAUUCGCAGAGUGAUCAUUGUGGAUCGGACACUAGACAGUAUAUUUCUGAAAUGAAAAUUCGAAGGUAUACAUAUGGUCGUUGAUUCCAAAAAUGAACUUUUAUGCGCAAGAUGAUCACCGGCGGACCCACGUGAGUAGAAGGAGUGUUACUUGCACCACCUUAAAUUAUAUAAUUAAAAUUUUUAAGCUUAAAUCAAUAGGAUUAUUUGGCUAAUUUGGUUAAAGUUUAUAUUUGGCAAAAAUAUUUUCUGGGUCCGCCACUGAAGAUGAUCGUUGUGGACAGUAUAAUUCUUACACGCCACAAUCGGAACACCAGCCACCAACCAUCUCGGUCGUCGAGUUCCAGCCAUAUCUCCUAGAAAACGUCAACGUUUUGGGCCUUUUCCUUCGGCCUUGUCACCCAUUGAGAUAUGAUCCCUGCUUGACUCAAUUAGUGGAUUGUAUUGCUACAAGACCCACAAGUUAUAAGGAUUUCCAAACUCUUGGUGAGUCAUAAGAACGAAACACAAGAAGCAGAACAUACGAUUGUUGUGCAGCUUUAUUUCAGAUCUGACUAGCUAGCUAGUAGUACCUAUUAUACAAGUAUGGUAUAAACAUAGUUAAGGAUGUCUAAGCAGCGCAAGUGGCACAGGUGCAUCCCUCACCACAAGUGCAACCCUUAGUAGAGGUUUGAGUUUGGGUCUUGGGACAGUUGCAAGGGUUACAGCCACAGUGCUCCCCACACGGACACGUGUUAUGCUCUUGAUCCCCACCAGAUGCUUCGCUCAUCAUCUUGCACCUACAUGGUAUUGAACCACGUUUUUAAGAUCACAACAAAUCAAUUAUAGCUAGAGCGUAUAUAUAUAUAUAUAUAUAUAUAAUGAACCAACCUGCAAGAUUCACCACCGGGACAUGGAGAAGGGCAGCCACAACGAUCGUUGCAGCUAGCGCUUGAGCUUCCUUUGCCUGUGUCUGCCAUUUUUUUUCUUCUCUCUUUUUUCUCACUAGCUCUUCUUUUUUACAUUUCAUAUAGAUAAGAACACUGAGCGAUGCAAGAGAACUGAAUACGUGGCCUAUAUCAGGCAACAUCUGCCAUGUGGCAACUUCUCCUCUAACUCCAGUCGUGACGAAGCAUGUUCUUACCAACCCGAAAAGUUAACUUUGUGUUUUUGUAAUCUUGUAAAACUGUUGAUGAGAACAUCGUGAUGAAGGUAGACCUUACUAGAGUUGUUUGACGUAUUAUGACUUUAUUGUACUAGUAGUAUUAAACUUUUCUUUUUUAGAUUUUUCUAAAGUUAACAAAAGAGCUCAAUUUUUAGUUAAUUAACAUAAGAACAAUUUAAGGCUCUCUCUCUUAUCGCUCUCGUAUCUUUUAGAGAGAGAGAGUCUUCUCUAUUUUCAGCUUUUUGUUUCUGGUUUCGACCAGAUUUGUAUAUUGUUUUCGUUUUCGCUUUCUGCGAUUCAAUAAUUUCCAGUUAGGUGCUGGACUUUUUGUUACCGGCUCAGUCCGGUUCGAUCUCUUUCCAUAUGUAGCUCUUAUCAUCGAUGUCUCCGUCUUCUUCUAAAUUCUCUCUGUUUUCUCCAAUUAUCCGAGGAAUAAUAUCUUCGUCACUCUCCUUUUGCUCAAGAUAUAUGAGCAAAGAAGGAUUCAAGUCUACAUCAAGUUGGGUGUAGCCGGUGGUGGAGCUUCCACGGUGUUGGCAUUUUCCGGAGAAAUUUUGAAGCGUUCUUCAUAUGAAUCCGGCAGAUUUCGAUGCUAUGUUUGGAUUGGAUUGAAGAUCGGCAGAAGGAAGGUAGAUACAGAUCGAUCCAUGGCUGAUUGGCGGUGGCUAAUCAGAAUUAUGGCGAUUUCCGGCGAGGAUUGACGGUGGCGUUGAUAUCUCGACGCGUGGGCUAAGAAGAACACGUAUUAUACACGUGUCAAUAGCUAAUUCAUAUGGGGCUACUUAUGUUUAUCUGUUUACUUUUAAUCUCUGAAUUAGUUUGGGCCGUUCUCGCUUGUAUCCUUUUAAUGGACCUUCUGUACUUGCCUUUGGGCUUUUAAUGAAAACGUUGGCCGACAAAAAAAUAAAAUAAAAUUUAGAAGCAUUGGUGCAGCCUUAGAAGUUAGAACUAAGCUAAUUUAAAUUUAAAGUCCGGUUACAAAUUGAAAAAACAAUUCAUGUAAACGAGUCAGGUGAUUGUGAUAUCACUAAUGAACGAGUCUAAAUUCCGAGCCGAAGAUCCACCAGGUGCCAUCGCCAAUCUUGCGGCGUGCUUCAGCUCCGUCGCUCUCCUCCUCAUGCCCGCGGCGGCAGGUCCUUCUGUCACGGCCUCAAUGCAUCUCUCCACCUCUUCAACCUUAAGCUCUCCGUCAACAGCAUCGUUCUUCAUCCUUACUCCUAUUCCAAACACAUCCACAAGCAAUCUGGCAUCAAGCGGCUGAUCUAUCCAAGUCGGAUACGCCACCACCGGAACACCAGUCACCACCGUCUCGAUCGUCGAGUUCCAUCCACAAUGCAUGACGAAGCAAGAGAUCGCCAUGUGGCUCAAUAUCUUCUCUUGUUGACCCCAUUCAAUUACAACCCCUUUACCUUCUUUAACCAUCUCUUGCAAAACUUGGACAUUUUCGCCUUUCUCCUUCGGCCUAAUCACCCAAAGAAAUGAAACUCCUCUGUUUUUCAAUGCCUUUGCUAUGAUCUCGACUUGAUUCUCCGAUGAUUUGAGUAUGCUUCCGAAAGAUAUGUAAACAACUGAAGACCUAGCUUGCUUGUCAAGCCACUCCAUACAAAAAUCAUCAUAUUUCCACAUAUCUAGGUUUUUUCCAUCUUGGGUUUUGUCUUCUUCAAUUCCCAACAGAAAUGGAGAAACAAGAGGACCAAUUGGGAUUAUAGGUUUUAAAUCAGACAUAGACUCGAUUAUCUCUGAUUCGAGUUCGUAAAACGAGUUAACCAAAACCCAUUGCACAUCUUUCAAGCAAUCUGCGAAUUCCGCCAUUAGCGUAUUGACCUGAGCGCCAUGAGAAGGUAACAUCAAUGAUGGGAGAUCUCGGACUUCCAACAGUGGUAAAGCUGGUAACUCCACUGUUUGAUUCAGAACUUCAAGGUCGGGGAAAGGAUUUGUCUUCAUGUAGUAACGGUAAUAAACGGAGAAAGCUCCACAAGCUUGGAUCCAGAGGAUUGCACAAGGAAUAUUAUGAGCCGCGGCAACAGCUGGAACCCAUGGGGUAAAAGGCACAGAGACAAUGCAAUCGAAUCUCUUUUCUUCGAUGAUUUUUGACAAGUUCUUGGCUCCAACUUUUCUCAAUGACUUUGCGAGAGUGUCGGGGUCUCUUGGAUCGUCUUUAGGCAGACCGUCGGGGAAGAAGGCGAGGUCCACCGGUCUAUGGGGUUCGUCGGCAGUGGAAGAGAGGAGGUCACGGGCUUGCUCAGUGGUGGCGAGAGUGAAGUGUAGGUUGGUUCGUGCGAGAUGUUUGGCGAAUUUGAGCAUUGGAUUUAGGUGACCUUGGAAUGCUAAUGCUACCAUUAGGACAUGUGUUUCUUGACCCACACUACUUCCCAUUAUUACGAAUAGUUAUUAUUCUUUUUAAUAGUAAUUUAGAGGUAUGGGACUUGAGUUUUGUAUGAUAUUGUGAGCUCUAGUUGUUGUGGUAUAUAUAACAAUGGUUGUUCAACAAUAGAUUUUGCAUAAUUAAUUAAUAUUGUGGAAUUUGGUAAUAAAAUGUAUCUAUUGUAACUUUGUAAGUGAUAACCCAAUAAAUGUUGGUCAAUAUAUUCAAAAUUAAUUAUGGGUGUUCUAUAUUCUUGUACAAUUGUUAAAAAAAAAUCAUGUCCUUAGCUAAUUACAAAUUUUAUUAUAUUAACAAAAAGUUUAUAUGCUAUUCUGAAACAUUAUAUAUUUUCUAAUUAUAUUUAUGAAAGUGUUUGAUAAUAUUUCAAAAUUAAUAAAAAAAUGUAGAUUAAGUAAAUCUUCUAAUUAUAUUUAAUAUCCUCAACAAAAGAAGAAAAAAACCAAUGAAAAAGCUAAACUGGAAUCAAAUAGAAUAAUACACAAAAGUGCUAGAAUAUAUUAUAUAUAAUAUAAUUAUCAAGAAAUCUACAAUUUUAAUUUGGUGAAGGAGAUGGUAUCCACACAAAAAUGUAGGUAAUGAAUCAUGAUAUAUAAUAACAAACAACUGGUCCAUAUUCCAUUCAUCAGUUUGGUUUUUGUAACAAUUGAUAUCCGGGAAGUCUCAAACCUUGUAUUCAUACAUUUUGUACUAAUUGAUUCCAAAGUACAGAGUUAGGCGAUUGUGAUAUCACUAAUGAACAAGUCUAAAUUCCGAGCCGAAGAUCCACCAGGUGCCAACGCCGAUCUUGCGACAUGCUUCAGCUCUGCC